GGGACUGUAGUUCAGUUGGUUAGAAUGCCUGCCUGUCACGCAGGAGGUCGCGGGUUCGAGCCCCGUCAGUCCCG
rnacentral:tRNA from 2 species